rnacentral:rRNA from 1 species
UACGUAGGGGGCAAGCGUUGUCCGGAUUUACUGGGCGUAAAGGGCUCGUAGGUGGCCAACUAAGUCAGACGUGAAAUCCCUCGGCUUAACCGGGGAACUGCGUCUGAUACUGGAUGGCUUGAGAUUGGGAGAGGGAUGCGGAAUUCCAGGUGUAGCGGUGAAAUGCGUAGAUAUCUGGAGGAACACCGGUGGCGAAGGCGGCAUCCUGGACCAACACUGACACUGAGGAGCGAAAGCCAGGGGAGCAAACGGG